CCUGUAGCACCUGCCAUGAGCAUUGAGCUCCUGUGCUGUGUGGACUUUUCUCUCCUGUGGGCAGGUCUAGUGAAUGUUGGUGUCACUCAGACCCCAAAAUUCCAAGUCCUGAAGACAGGACAGAGCAUGACAGUGCAGUGUGCCCAGGAUAUGAACCAUAACUUCAUGUACUGGUAUCGACAAGACCCAGGCAUGGGGCUGAGGUUGAUUCAUUACUCAGGUGCUGCUGGUACUACUGAUAAAGGAGAAGUCCCCAGUGGCUACAAUGUCUCCAGAUUAAACACAGAGGAUUUCCCACUCAGACUGGAGUCGGCUGAUCCUUCCCAGACAUCUGUGUACUUCUGUGCCAGCAGUUACUCCACAGCACUACAAGGCCGUCUCCUCUCCACACAUGAAAGCAGGGAGGCUCUGCCCUCCUCCCCCACCCAAGACUCAGGGAUGCCCUGGGCAGAGUUUUCUGCAACAGGAACCUUGGAACCCCAAGUGGCCCCAACUGGCCCAGACAGUAUGAGCCUCGCUCUGUGCCAGGCGCCUCUGCAGGCAGUCUCAGCCAGGCCUGGACUGCUCCAGGUCCUCGGAUGUCUCCUUUCUUGCUCUCUCUGGUCUAUCCUCUGA